rnacentral:misc_RNA from 1 species
GAAAUGCGAUAAGUAGUGUGAAUUGCAGAAUUCAGUGAAUCAUCGAAUCUUUGAACGCACAUUGCGCCCUUUGGUAUUCCUUAGGGCAUGCCUGUCCGAGCGUCAUUUAAACCCUUCAAGCUCAGCUUGGUGUUGGGUGACUGUCCGCCGCCCCCGGGCGUGGACUCGCCCCAAAUCCAUUGGCGGCCGGUACGUAGGCUUCGAGCGCAGCAGAAACGCGAACUCGAGCCCGCGGUGUCGGCUCCCAGAAGCCAUCUCUUUUAUUUUGACCUCGGAUCAGGUAGGGAUACCCGCUGAACUUAAGC